UCCUCUGAGCUGUCCGCUCAGCUCCCACGCGCGCCGCAGAGUGAGGCUGGGAGCCGGAAGAUGACGUCAGUCCGCGGCGCGCGAGGGAGCUGAGCGGACAGCUCAGAGGAAGAG